GUGCUCGCUUUGAUAGCACAUAUACUAAAAUUGGUACAAUACAGAGAAGAUUAGCAUGGCCCCUGCACAAGGAUGUCACACAAAUUCAUGAAGUGUUCCAUAUUUUU
ensembl:snRNA U6 U6 spliceosomal RNA